rnacentral:rRNA from 1 species
UACGGAGGGGGCUAGCGUUGUUCGGAAUUACUGGGCGUAAAGCGCACGUAGGCGGCUUUGUGAGUUAGAGGUGAAAGCCCGGGGCUCAACUCCGGAAUUGCCUUUAAGACUGCAUCGCUAGAAUUGUGGAGAGGUAAGUGGAAUUCCGAGUGUAGAGGUGAAAUUCGUAGAUAUUCGGAAGAACACCAGUGGCGAAGGCGACUUACUGGACACAUAUUGACGCUGAGGUGCGAAAGCGUGGGGAGCAAACAGG